rfam:Human enterovirus 71 polyprotein gene, complete cds.
UUAAAACAGCUGUGGGUUGUCACCCACCCACAGGGUCCACUGGGCGCUAGUACACUGGUAUCUCGGUACCUUUGUACGCCUGUUUUAUAC